GGUAACUCGGCUACGUUUCAAAGGACAAUGGGCUAAUAUUAUCAGCUUACACAAAAGUAACGACGAGAUAUUAUCAAUCUCCACUUUCUAGAAAAACAAUCAAGUUUCUACACAUAACAGCAAUAGCACCAAAAUUUAAGUAAACAACAUACAAAAGGAUCAAUCAUCAGCUGCUUCUGUAGACUUCCCUCCAAACGGAUCGUGAGAAGUUUCAGUGUCUUGACCAAUGUGGCGUUGCACAAGGCGCUGCAAAUCAGCCAUAACCUUCUGCUCACGCUUAGCCUUCUCCUCAUAGUUAAACAUGGCCAACGCUCGCUUGUCUUCAGCACUGUAAACUUGGUUUUCCUUUCUGAUACGAAUAGCAUUCAUCCUUUGAUGCCUACUACCACUCAUCACAUAGCCAAGACCCUCGAAUUUCGAAAUCUCAUCAGCAGAAAGACCCACUUCACCUCUACGUGGAAUACGCUUCCCUUGCUGAACAUACUGGGCAAUAGCAUCACCUUCACCAGGCCUAAGUGCCCCACCAUAGCUGAUAUGUCCUUCAGCCCUUGGCAAGGGCAUUGGACCAACUGGGGCCUCAUCUUCAAAAUUACUCCUCUUCCUUGCCUCAAUCAGUUCUUUAAAUUCAAGCACCUCACCAUUAACUUCAUCUAUCAUUGCUUCAUCAGCCUUCGUCUCAUUAAUUCCAGCAUCAUCACUCAACUCCAAGCUCUUCUCUGGUAUAUCACUAUCCCCUUCCUUCUUUCUCUUACUCUUCAAAGCACUCUUUUGCUUCUUACUAGCAUCAGAAUCAUCAAUUUCACCGUCUUCGCUUUCGCUCUUGCUUUUACUCUCACUCUCGCUUGAAUAGCUUUUCCUUUUGCUUCUUUUCUUCCUGCUACUACUACCCCUUUUAUGUCUCCUGCUACUCUCUUUUCUCCUCGACUUUUUCCUUCUUUUGUUCCUUUCUUCUUCUGAUGAUGAAUCAUCAGUAGACUCUUCCUCCGAUUCACUCACACUCUUCCUUCUCGAUCUCCUACUCCUACGUUUAGAGCUGGAUUUCUUCCUCUUCCUAGAUUUCCUCGGUUCAGAAUCUGAAGCCUCUGAGUCAGAAUCCGAUGCAUCUGAUUCAGAUUCGGAAUCGGGCUCACUUCCAGAAGACUUAGUUUUUGACCUCUUCACAUCCUUUUUGGAUCCAUCCUCCUUCUUUACCAUCUCGUCUUCGAUUUUUUCUGCAAUUUCAUCAGGUUCUUCAUAUUCCGGCUCAUUUUCUUUCCUAGGUGGACUUGGUGUGCAAUUCCAAAUACAAUUCUUCAACUGUUUCCUCAAUUUCUGACGUUUUAGCCUCCGGUACUCUUCAAAACUCAAACCUUUAAGCUCUUCAUCCGAAUCAGAAUCUGCAGUUCUUCCACUCUUAUGAUCUCGAUCAAGGUAAGGUUUCUUCCCCCGUCCAAAUCUCCUAGGAGGUUCAUUCGUAGGGCUUGGUCUACGGUACGAACGAUCUGGAGAAAACGAUCGCCGGUUGCUUCGUCCAUUAGUAUGUGAUGCUUGCUGGCCUCUAUAUGGACUAUAAGCCGGACUCCGACUCCGGCUAACACUUCGGCUCAGGCUACGGUUUUGGUUUCGGUUUCUGAUAGGACUACGGCUACGACUAGGACUUCGAUAUCGACGUCGAUUGUCGUAGUGCGAGCUCCGUUGAGGUGAGUAUCGGCCGCCGUCACCGUUCCGGUGGCUUCGAUGCCUGUCGUCGGGGAUUUCUACGGCGGAGGAAAGCCUACCCAUU
rnacentral:misc_RNA from 1 species